UACGUAGGGGGCGAGCGUUGUCCGAAUUUACUGGGCGUAAAGCGCGCGUAGGCGGCUCUUUAAGUCUGGGGUGAAAGGUUCAGCGCUCAACGUGAACAGUGCCCUGGAUACUGGGGGGCUUGAGUCUGGCAGGGGGAAGCGGAAUUCCUGGUGUAGCGGUGAAAUGCGUAGAUAUCAGGAGGAACACCGGUGGCGAAGGCGGCUUCCUGGGCUAAGACUGACGCUGAGGUGCGAAAGCGUGGGGAGCAAACGGG
rnacentral:rRNA from 1 species